rnacentral:tRNA from 1 species
CCUGCGGUAUUUUACACUAGAGUGCAAAUCUAGAGACGAACCC